AGAAUGAAUUAGAUUCGAUUGUUUUUUCUUUCUUUUUUUUUACCAACUUUGCUGAAGUACAUACUUAAAUAUGUUAUUAAUUGAUUGCAAAACCGUGAAAUGGAAAUACAUACAAAGUUCAAAUAAUCAUUCGAGUGUUUUUAAUGUUAUAAAAAGCUACUACAAGUAUGGAUUAAUAUGUGAAAACGAUGGGCUCAUUAAUUCAUUUUUUGCAAUAGUUUUUUCGAAAAUGAUCCCACUUUGAUGACCCCUGGCUCAGCCCUCUGGACAGCCAGGGGGCUCCAAAUUUUUUGGGCAGUCUCUCACUCAACGUAAACUUCCCCACCAACUUUCGUCAAAAUGCUGAAUAUCUUUUUUUCCGAUCCGCCUCGAUAGGUAGGUACCUACCUACGCAUAGGUACUAAAAGAUAAAUUAUCGAUGAAAACGUCCAUAAUCUCUCGAAUUAAUCAGCAACUCACGAUAAAAUAAACUAGGUAUACCUAAAUACUUACAAUUUAGACGAGUACGUAUCUUUUAAUAAUUUCAAUCCGAAAAUAAGGCAGUUGAAAGUAUCCUCUUUUCCUCAGUGAAUUCUCACAGUAACGCAACAAAAUCAUAAUGAGAAGUAAAAAUAUAGUAUUCAUCCCGAUCGCUAUUUAUUACUUGUUUUGGGUCGCAAUCGUGAUGAUGUUAUAGUUUACCACAGCAAUACUGUUAUGGGCAAAAUGGCCAUAGAGAAUGCCCUGUUCUUUGGAGGCCUAACAACACAAAUCCCAUACUGCAUAAAAAUUCAAUAAUCCCACCAGCAUCAGGAAAUAAAAAAAUGAUCAAGAACUUGGGCUAAAAGAAGUUGGUAGAAUAAAUUCGAUGCAAUUCAUUUUUUUUAACAACUUUUCUUACUUAUACAUAUUUUUUUUAAUUUAGUAAGAAUGUUAACGAUUGAUUACAAAACCAUGAUUUAUAGAAAUACAAAGUUCAAAUAAU